AGCGAACGCUGGCGGUAGGCCUAACACAUGCAAGUCGAACGGCAGCACAGUAAGAGCUUGCUCUUACGGGUGGCGAGUGGCGGACGGGUGAGGAAUACAUCGGAAUCUACUUUUUCGUGGGGGAUAACGUAGGGAAACUUACGCUAAUACCGCAUACGACCUACGGGUGAAAGAAGGGGAUCUUCGGACCUUGCGCGAUUGAAUGAGCCGAUGUCGGAUUAGCUAGUUGGCGGGGUAAAGGCCCACCAAGGCGACGAUCCGUAGCUGGUCUGAGAGGAUGAUCAGCCACACUGGAACUGAGACACGGUCCAGACUCCUACGGGAGGCAGCAGUGGGGAAUAUUGGACAAUGGGCGCAAGCCUGAUCCAGCCAUACCGCGUGGGUGAAGAAGGCCUUCUGGUUGUAAAGCCCUUUUGUUGGGAAAGAAAAGCAGCAGGUUAAUACCCCGCUGUUCUGACGGUACCCAAAGAAUAAGCACCGGCUAACUUCGUG
rnacentral:rRNA from 1 species